rnacentral:rRNA from 1 species
UACGAGGGGUGCAAGCGUUGUUCGGAAUCACUGGGCGUAAAGGGCGCGUAGGCGGCCUUGCAAGUCGGUUGGUGAAAGCCCGGGGCUCAACCCCGGAGGUGCGGCCGAGACUGCAGGGCUGGAGGCCGGAAGAGGAGGGUGGAAUACCCAGUGUAGAGGUGAAAUUCGUAGAUAUUGGGUGGAACACCGGUGGCGAAGGCGGCUCACUGGCUCGUAACUGACGCUGAGGCGCGAAAGCUAGGGGAGCAAACAGG